CUGCAGUGAUGAUGUAGACUGUUGUGACUUGGUAUUGUCUAGCUGUGCUCAUACACCAUGACUCUGACCAAGGCAGGAUCACAUGAAUCUUCUCUCUGAGCAG